rnacentral:rRNA from 1 species
UUUCCUGAUCAACGCUAAUCGGAUCAGGGUUAGUCGGGUCCUAAGGGUAAGCCGAACGGUGAUCUCGAUGGAUAAUCGGUUAAUAUUCCGAUACUAACAUAUACCUCGAUGGAGAGACGAAGGAACGUAAGUGCCGCCACCUGACGGAAUAGGUGGUUAAAGGGCGUAGGUAUAGGGGCAGAUUAAGAGUUAGUCCUUGCUGAAACCUGACAGUACAGAGAGCCUACGGGCAAUUUGAUAGUGCACCCAAGUCGACUUCCGAGAAAAUCUUCUAAGUUAUAGUAUAUGUCACCCGUACCGUAAACCGACACAGGUGGUCGAGGAGAGUAUCCUAAGGUGCUCGAGUGAAUCACGGUUAAGGAACUAGGCAAAUUAACCCCGUAACUUCGGGAAAAGGGGUCCCAUCGCGAGGUGGGCGCAGCGAAGAGGUCCAGGCGACUGUUUAUCAAAAACACAGGGCUCUGCAAAUUCGAAAGAAGACGUAUAGGGCCUGACACCUGCCCGGUGCUGGAAGGUUAAGAGGGGAUGUCAUCGCAAGAGAAGCAUUGAAUCGAAGCCCCAGUAAACGGCGGCCGUAACUAUAACGGUCCUAAGGUAGCGAAAUUCCUUGUCGGGUAAGUUCCGACCUGCACGAAUGGUGUAACGAUCUGGACACUGUCUCAACCGUGAGCUCGGUGAAAUUGUAGUCCCGGUGAUGAUGCCGGGUACCCGCAACGGGACGAAAAGACCCCGUGAACCUUUACUAUAGCUUAACGCUGAAUUUGGGUACACAAUGUGUAGGAUAGGCCGGAGGCUUUGAAGCGGGCACGCCAGUGUUCGUGGAGCCGACGUUGAAAUACGGCCCUUUGUGUAUUUGAGUUCUAACCCUGCGAAGGGGACACCGUUUGGUGGGUAGUUUGACUGGGGUGGUCGCCUCCAAAAGCGUAACGGAGGCUUCCCAAGGUACCCUCAGCACGAAUGGUAACCGUGCGCGGAGUGCAAUAGCAUAAGGGUGCUUGACUGUGAGACAUACAAGUCGACCAGGUACGAAAGUAGGGUAUAGUGAUCCGGUGGUUCUGCGUGGACUGGCCAUCGCUCAAAGGAUAAAAGGUACUCCGGGGAUAACAGGCUGAUCGCCGCCAAGAGCUCAUAUCGACGCGGCGGUUUGGCACCUCGAUGUCGGCUCGUCACAUCCUGGGGCUGGAGAAGGUCCCA